rnacentral:rRNA from 1 species
UACGGAGGGUGCAAGCGUUAAUCGGAAUUACUGGGCGUAAAGCGUGCGCAGGCGGUUUGUUAAGUCCGUUGUGAAAGCCCCGAGCUCAACUUGGGAAUUGCAGUGGAUACUGGCAGGCUGGAGUACGGUAGAGGAAGGUGGAAUUCCCGGUGUAGCAGUGAAAUGCGUAGAGAUCGGGAGGAACAUCAGUGGCGAAGGCGGCCAUCUGGGACAACACUGACGCUGAGGCACGAAAGCGUGGGGAGCAAACAGG